UGGAGCUGGGCAGCAUCCUGGAUACCACCAUCAUGGGGACAUUCCUCACAGCAUACAUGUGGGGACUCUUCUUUUGGAUUUCUAAGUAAAUCCACUGUCUAAGCCCAGUAACUUUUUCACAUGUAAAUGACAUGAAACUGCCUGUCAGCUGAAGUGGUUUUCCAGAGCAGAUGCUGCUGCCUAUCCACACUACAGAGUUGGGCUAAUUACAUUGCUUUUCUUCAGCACUGCUCCAGACACAGAAAUUAUUAGGAUUAUGGAAUAAUUCAGGUUGAAAGGAACCUCAGGAGGUUAUCUAGUCCAACCUCCUGGUAGAGCAGGCUGGAAGAGCACCCAGGUACUGGCCAUCUCCAAGGCUGAGACAACCAUGGUCACCCCUUCCUACCACUCCUGUAUGAGAGCUGGUUAGGACAGCUUGGGAUGCAUUGUUUUUGUUUUUCAUGGGAAA